GACGAACGCUGGCGGCAGGCUUAACACAUGCAAGUCGAACGAGGUAGCAAUACCUAGUGGCGCACGGGUGCGUAACACGUAGCCAAUCUGCCCUGGAGUGGGGAAUAACCAUCCGAAAGGAUGGCUAAUACCGCAUAUUGACAAGAGGUGGCAUCACCUUCUGUUGAAAGCUAUAUGCGCUCCGGGAUGAGGCUGCGGUGGAUUAGGUAGUUGGUAGGGUAACGGCCUACCAAGCCGACGAUCCAUAGCUGGUCUGAGAGGAUGAUCAGCCACACUGGGACUGAGACACGGCCCAGACUCCUACGGGAGGCAGCAGUGGGGGAAUCUUGCGCAAUGGGCGAAAGCCUGACGCAGCGACGCCGCGUGAGGGAUGACGGCC
rnacentral:rRNA from 1 species